rnacentral:rRNA from 1 species
UACAGAGGGUGCGAGCGUUAAUCGGAAUUACUGGGCGUAAAGGGCUCGUAGGCGGCCAACUAAGUCGGACGUGAAAUCCCCAGGCUCAACCUGGGAACUGCGUCCGAUACUGGAUGGCUUGAAUCCGGGAGAGGGAUGCAGAAUUCCAGGUGUAGCGGUGAAAUGCGUAGAUAUCUGGAGGAAUACCGGUGGCGAAGGCGGCAUCCUGGACCGGCAUUGACGCUGAGGAGCGAAAGCCAGGGGAGCAAACGGG